UACGGAGGGUGCGAGCGCUAAUCGGAAUUACUGGGCGUAAAGGGCUCGUAGGCGGCCAACUAAGUCAGACGUGAAAUCCCUCAGCUUAACUGGGGAACUGCGUCUGAUACUGGAUGGCUUGGAUUCGGGAGAGGAAUGCGGAAUUCCAGGUGUAGCGGUGAAAUGCGUAGAUAUCUGGAGGAACACCGGUGGCGAAGGCGGCAUUCUGGACCGACAUUGACGCUGAGGAGCGAAAGCCAGGGGAGCAAACGGG
rnacentral:rRNA from 1 species